AUCAGCUCACAGUCCCAUGAUCAGGACCAGUUACUCUGCCUCCAGUCCCAGCUGAAAAUGUGUUCUACCAGGCCACAAGGGGCCCUCUUCUGUGGCCCCAUAACCUCUUGCUCCUUCCCUGAUGGCUCUGCAGAUAAAGAAUCUCUCCUGCAAUGCAGGAGACACAGAUUCGAUCCCUGGGUUGGGAAGAUCCCCUGGAGGAGGAAAUGGCAACCCACUCUAGUAUUCUUGCCUGGGAAAUCCCAUGGACAGAGGAGCGUGGCCAGCUACAGUCCCUGGGGUUGCAAAGAGUUGGACACGACUGAGCGACUAAGCAAGGCAGGCAACUCCUCACUCCCAGAGCCUGUACUGAAGAUGCCUAUGUCCCUCCCCUCCUCAGAACUGGGCAUCAGCACACCUCCUGCAGGACCUGUCCACCCAAGCUCCUCUCACUUGUCAUAAGGGACCAUACAAAGCCUUGCUGCUCAAAGUGUGGCCUGAGGACAAGCAGCACCAGGGCCAUCUGGGAGGUUGUUAGAAAUGCCUCUGCCAGUCUCAGCUCCGAACCCAGACCCACCGAACCUGCAUUUGAGCAAGAUCCCCAGAGUCCUAGGCUGGCUUUUGCAAAAGAUGAACGAACCAAUCAAUACUUGAUCUCAUGGACCCUCUCUGGCCCGCCUACCCGGCAGGCUUUUCUGCCCCCUAGGAU
ensembl:lncRNA